UCCCUAGAGGACUAGUGGUUAGGCUACAGGGCUCUCACCGCUAUGGCCUGGGUUUGAGCCCCGGCCAGGGAA